rnacentral:rRNA from 1 species
AUGGAGGGGCUCGAAGGCCGGCUGCAGCUAUCCAUGGUGGCUUACGCGGCGGGUGCAAGGAAGGAUAUCUCGCCGGAGUUCAUUCUCGAGGUGCUGCAGGUCAAGGUGGGCAUUGAGCCGCAGUGGGUGUCUGUGCAUCGCUACCGGCCGGAGGAUUUUCUCAUUGUCUUCGCGCGCCCGGAGCACAGGAACAGGCUCUGCGCUAUGCCGGUGGUGGAUCAUCGUGGGGUCAGAUUGUUCUUUCGUCAGUGGAAUCGGCAAACCCAAGCUGUGCAUUCGGUGUUCAGAUCCAAGGUGUUGAUUGAGUUGGAGGGCAUCCCGCCGCACGCGUGGGAGCUGGAGGUGGUGGAGCGGAUCCUAGGAUCGUCCUGCCUGGUGGAUGCGAUGGCGCCGGAGACGAGCUCUCGCGCGGACCUUUCCUCCUUCAAGGUCACGGCGUGGACGGCCGACCCGGAGGCGAUCCCGACGCUCCGGUGGCUGGGGGUGCCCGAACCUGGCCUAGGGGUGCGGCCCUCCCAGCCGGCGCUGCUGCAGUACAAAGUCCUCGUUCAUCUCGUGCAAGUUCAGGAUUUCGCGGAGGCGGAGGAGCCAUGGUUUCUUGGGGGCGGGUCUUCUAGCAGUGGCCAGAGCGGUUUGCUGGAUUCUGAGGGCAGCAUGGAUGGGGGUGGUGGAGCCGUCGCUCGCCGCAGGUCUUGGCAGUUCGGUGUUCGGGACUCACGAGGUGGUACGAGCUCGGGGCGUGGCGGCUCCGGAGCAAGCGCUGCCGGCAACGACCGUGGUCCGGCAAUGGCGGCCACGGAGUGGAAGCUACCCGCCAUGGAGGAUUCGCCGGUGGUGGUCCCGGUGCGCCAGCUGGGCCACGUAAGCGAUAGGAUUGCGGUCAGGACCUUAGCUUUUGACCGUUUGACUGUGCGGGCUCCCUCUGGGCAGGCUCAGGAUCAGGAUCAGGUUCAGGAUCAGACAGGCGCAGCUCGCUCGGGGCCCAGAGAACUUUCGCCAAACGCUUUGGCAGUGGAUCGUGGCCCUGCGCAUGUGGGCAUUUCGGCUGUGGAGGAGGUAGGGGGCCAACGGCAACAGCUGGCUUCAAUUGUGGUGGUACCCGAGGUGACCCAGAACUUGGCCCCCGCCUCGGAUCCCAAAGACGCGGUGGUGGGAGCUAGCAUGAUUCAAAUCCCUAUCCAGGCUAAUGCGACCAUCACUGGGGUUGAGGAGCAGGAGCCAAUCCAGUGCACUCCACAGUCGCAGGAGGGCCCGGCCGCAGUGCUGGCAGAUUCGGUUGGGGACAAGACGGAGGUGGGCAUAGCAGUUCGAGUGGACGGGCCUCCGACCCUACACCGCUGGGGACGGGUUUCGAGACAGUACGGUGCCAGGAGUCGCAUGCCGACAAGCACAUGCUACUUGAUGCCGCCACGGAUAAGGACAAGGACGAGGAAAGGGACCCUUUGGUGCAUGCCCCCUCUGCAUACACCGGUCCGCAUCCAUGCAUGGUGGGACAUGACACGUUCGGCAAUGAUUGCCAGCUUACAUCUGCGGGAGGCGCAGACCCACCUGCUGGCUCAUCGGGAUGCGAGGUGGAGACGGAUUCACUCCCAUUGGCGCAUGCCCAUGCACGCCUGGAGAUGCGGGACAUGGUUGUCAUAUCACCCAUGCAUGGUGAUGGUUCCCACCAUGCAAACACACAUGGAGUGCAAGUUGAAGCUCAGGUCGCUACGAAUGUGGUUCUGCAGUCCGCGGUGCAUUUGGAGCAGGACUCCUCGGCUGCCAAGGGAGUUUUGCAGCAGGAGGAGGUUGCCUACGGACGGAUGA